rnacentral:rRNA from 1 species
UACAGAGGUCUCAAGCGUUGUUCGGAUUCAUUGGGCGUAAAGGGUGCGUAGGCGGGUCUUUAAGUCAGGGGUGAAAUCCUGGAGCUCAACUCCAGAACUGCCUUUGAUACUGAAGAUCUUGAGUUCGGGAGAGGUGAGUGGAACUGCGAGUGUAGAGGUGAAAUUCGUAGAUAUUCGCAAGAACACCAGUGGCGAAGGCGGCUCACUGGCCCGAUACUGACGCUGAGGCACGAAAGCGUGGGGAGCAAACAGG